rnacentral:rRNA from 1 species
UGAGGAAUAUUGGGCAAUGCCCGCAAGGGUGACCCAGCAACGCCGCGUGGAGGAUGAAUGUCGUAAGAUUGUAAACUCCUGUUAGAGGGGAAGAAUAGUACCGGUUGGACCGGUAUAUGACUGUACCCUCAGAGAAAGCCCCGGCUACCUACGUGCCAGCAGCCGCGGUAAUACGUAGGGGGCAAGCGUUGUCCGGAUUUACCGGGUGUAAAGGGCGCGCAGGCGGGAUAAAAAGUCAGUGGUGAAAUCCUACAGCUUAACUGUAGAACUGCCUUUGAUACCUUUAUUCUGGAGUUCGGGAGAGAGAGACGGAAUGCCAUGUGUAGUGGUGAAAUACGUAGAUAUCUGGAAGAACACCAGUUGCGAAGGCGGUCUCUUGGUCCGACACUGACGCUGAGGCGCGAAAGCGUGGGGAGC